rnacentral:rRNA from 1 species
CCUACGGGUGGCAGCAGUGAGGAAUAUUGGUCAAUGGGCGAGAGCCUGAACCAGCCAAGUCGCGUGAAGGAUGAAGGAUCUAUGGUUUGUAAACUUCUUUUAUAUGGGAAUAAAGUGAGGAACGUGUUCCUUUUUGUAUGUACCAUAUGAAUAAGCAUCGGCUAACUCCGUGCCAGCAGCCGCGGUAAUACGGAGGAUGCGAGCGUUAUCCGGAUUUAUUGGGUUUAAAGGGUGCGUAGGUGGAUAGUUAAGUCAGUGGUGAAAGUUUGUGGCUCAACCAUAAAAUUGCCGUUGAAACUGGUAGACUUGAGUAUAGUAGAGGUAGGCGGAAUGCGUGGUGUAGCGGUGAAAUGCAUAGAUAUCACGCAGAACUCCGAUUGCGAAGGCAGCUUACUGGACUAUAACUGACACUGAGGCACGAAAGCGUGGGGAUCAAACAGGAUUAGAUACCCGGGUAGUC